rnacentral:pre_miRNA from 1 species
GACUCACUCAACUUGGUGGUGAUGCUUAUAUAUAGAGCCGUCACAACCUCCUUGAGUGAGUCA